rnacentral:rRNA from 1 species
UACGUAGGGUGCGAGCGUUAAUCGGAAUUACUGGGCGUAAAGCGUGCGCAGGCGGUUCGUUGAGUCAGCUGUGAAAGCCCCGGGCUUAACCUGGGAAUGGCGGUUGAAACUGGCGAACUUGAAUCUGGCAGAGGGGGGUGGAAUUCCACGUGUAGCAGUGAAAUGCGUAGAGAUGUGGAGGAACACCGAUGGCGAAGGCAGCCCCCUGGGCUGAGAUUGACGCUCAGGCACGAAAGCGUGGGGAGCAAACAGG